rnacentral:rRNA from 1 species
ACCUACGGGGCGCAGCAGUGAGGAAUAUUGGUCAAUGGGCGCGAGCCUGAACCAGCCAAGUCGCGUGAGGGAGGACGGCCCUACGGGUUGUAAACCUCUUUUGCCGGGGAGCAAAAGACGCCACGCGUGGCGUUCCGAGAGUACCCGAAGAAAAAGCAUCGGCUAACUCCGUGCCAGCAGCCGCGGUAAUACGGAGGAUGCGAGCGUUAUCCGGAUUUAUUGGGUUUAAAGGGUGCGUAGGCGGUCCGUUAAGUCAGCGGUAAAAUUGCGGGGCUCAACCCCGUCGAGCCGUUGAAACUGGCAGA